rnacentral:tRNA from 1 species
GCCGAGGUGGUGGAAAUGGUAGACACGCACGUUUGAGGGGCGUGUGGAGCAAUCCGUACGAGUUCAAGUCUCGUCCUCGGCACCA